CAGCGUCACGACUCACUAUUGGAAACACCUCUUUAGUGUCUGCCUUCCCUGUCUGCUCUGGGAGGAGGGACAUGGCUUCUGUCUCCGUCUCAGUCCCACACUCUGCCCAGCUCCUGGCGUGGGGAAAGUGCUCAGUAAAUACUCAGUGAACGAUGAACAGGAAGAGAUGAAUGAGGACAGGAAGCUGGCCCAGGGAGUUUCGGGAGGUGCUCGGUUUUGGGAUCCAGGGACUCAGCUCCUUUGAUCAAGCCGGCAAUCCCCUAGCUCUUCUCCUUUGCCUUGCUCGCUCGCUUCCUCGGGUCUCUCUUCUAGUUUGAUUUUUCGCUUCUGCACUCAGGGUCUCAAUUUAUUCUUUGCCAAGUCGUCCAGCUCCUGGCUCAUUACUGUCACUGAAACCAAAGUGGGUUCCCUCCUGGUGAGUUAAAUCAGACUCUCCACCAGCAGUAGUUGUCUCACAAAGUAAGGUAUAUUUCCAGCAACUAGGAGACCACAAGGAGUCAUUUCCAGGUCACGGCAUCUCUGAACAAAGGGAAGCAGGGACUUUUAUUUGGGAUGGGGAAUGAAUAUUCAAAAGGGAGAGGUGGCUAUCCUCUUGUGCAGGCUCAGUUGGAAAACAAGCUUCCACACACACUGCAGGUGAUGGUAAUAAGGCCUCAGGCCCUCCUGGAGAGAUCUUAGCGUUAAAAAUAAGGCAACUGUCACAGGCCCAGCUCUCUGGUGAGGCUGGGUCUGGUUCAGGGAGGUUGGUGAUCGCAUCUCCUUAACGUAACAAAAGGAAAAAAACAAUCUGGCAAAACAGUUCAAUGCUUCCAAACUCAUCCUUGAGUUCCUGGGGCAACUGGUCGAUGACAUUGCCAACAGGCCACAUUGUCACGAUUGUUCCACUGAAUACAUAACGAGGGAUGGAGUUGGACUCUUCGAGCCUUAGGACAGGGUUCUCUACAUUCCUUUUCUCUGCACAUCCGAGGGAGGAGAUUAAUUCCCGUAAGUUUCAGUGCUUUCUCAUAACAGCAAUUCUCAGGGACCUGAAAAAAACAAGCCCUUGGAAGGGACUUACCAGAAUCAGGAAAUUCAGCGCUGACCCCUUCUUUCUUUGGAAUUUCUGUUCAGUUUUUCUAAGGACAGCAUCUGCAUUCCGAGUAGAUGCUGUGUAUUUGGGAGCAUCAAGAGGAGUAAGAGGGUCUGCCAUCUCCAGUUGAGAAGAUCUAUGCUAGUUCAAUGACCCCUAAACCAUCGGAUCAUCUGAAGUAGCUUGGGUAAGAUAUAGAUUGUGGGACCUCCCCAUAUCCCCACUAACUCACAACAUUCACGGAUACGGCUUGGGAAUCUGAUUUUAACGCAUAAGAGUGAGCUAGUCAGUCAAAUUUAAGAACCACUGAUCUGUUCCGAUCUUGCUCAACAGACGAAAGAACUUGGCAAUAGAGUUGAAGUGAUUCACCAAAUUUGGGGGAAGCCUUCAACUUGUCUGCAAAGCUGAAGUCUGUUUUGUGUGAAUCACAUAUAAAUUCUUUCAACCUUUCAGAAAAACCUAAUGAGGUGGUCCCAUCACCCUGAGUAUUAGAAGAAAUUUGGAGGUUAGAGAAAUUUACUUAGUAACGAUUCCGAUUCUUCAUUAAUGCUGCCACCCAUUGCCUCUCCCCACCUGUCAAUCAAGAUCAGCUCCCAAUCAAUGCAUCGUAACCUCUGAACCACAGGCAAAGGAGAGGGAUUGGGGUUGGGAAAAAAUUGUCAUGGCAUUGCAGGUGGGAAAGUAAAGAGUACAGGUAGGACUAUCUUACUGUGAAUUGAUGAUGAAAUCCUUAGAACAUGUCAACAUGAAAAUGGAGAGUGAGGGCAUCUUAUAAGCCACUAAAUCCUGGCUUUAUCUUUAUUUUCCUUUUCUAAGAUUGGAGUAGCUAUCCUCCAAAAUGAUCCCAAUGAUUCUCAUCUUCCGGCAUACAUCUCCCCACCUCCCACAUUGAAUAGAGAUGCCCCUGGUAACCAAGAGGAUAUUGUGGAAAUGAUGGAGAGAGAUUCCCAAGUUUGGAUCAUCAAAGGCAUUGUAACUUCUUUGCUUUCUCUUAGAUCAUUGUUCUUGGAGAAACCUUCUGCAAUAUUGUGAGCACACUCAAGAAGGCCUAUGGAGAGGUCCACGUGGCGAGCAACAGAGGCCUCCUGGCAACAGCCAGCACCAUCUUGCCAGGGGUGUGAAUGAGCCGUCUUGGAAGAGAACCUUCCAGCUUCAGUGCAGCCUUCAGAUGAUGCCAUCCCAGCUGACAUCUGACAGCCACCUCGUGAUGGCCCUUGUGCCACAAUUCCCUGCCAAACUAUGAGAUAAUAAAUGUUUAUUCCUUGA
rnacentral:lncRNA from 1 species